AGGACUAUAAUUUAUAAAAAAUAUUUGAUUUGCAUUCAAAAAAAGCCCUUCUGGUUUGUCUUG
rnacentral:tRNA from 1 species